ensembl:lncRNA
ACAUUGGUUUGCCUUGACCGGCAGGGAAGUAUUUUGAAAGUAGGGAGGGGAUUCUCUGAGGGACAGUUGGGUAGGUGGGCAUAACACAGGGGAAAACCAACUGGAAUAACUUUGGGGACACUGGAACAUACCAUAAAAUGACAGAACAUGCAACUCAAUAAAGUUACACACUACAACAGCUGUAAAGCACCUGUGUCAUACAAAUAGCAAAGAUACGCUGGAAUUGCAACAGUUUGAGGAUUUAUUAAUUAGUUCAACACUUCAAGUUUUUCAUUGUGUUACUUUGUUUUCUUUGUGCCUUUGAAAGCUACCAUGUAGUUGCUGGUAGAGGGUGGCUGGUGUGGGCAAUUGGUCACAACUACAUGAUCAAUCUUUGCCAUUUGGUGUAUAGGGCCAAAGUAGCACUCAUGAUGUGUUUUGUGAGGGUAGGCAGUUGCCAUUCAGUUGUCCUUCAGUUCAGUUCUCCUUUCGUUUAAUUUGGUUUGUGAAUUCAUGUGUUUUAUGCUGUGACUUUGCAUUUGAUCUCUUCAGACUUGGAUAAGUGAAAUAAUUUUCUAACUUACUGUAAAUUUUAUAAAUAUUAUACCAGAGUGUUCAUACACAAUUAGAUUUCUGGGAAAAAGAGGAAAGUGGUGAUGUCCUUAGAGGGACGCUGUCACAUUUGACUUUUCCAUCUCUCCCUGGCUUCUCUCUUGCUCGAUUCUCCUUACUCUCUGCUGUGGGAGGAAUCCUCUGCGUGACCCUGCUGGCUGGGUUUGUUUAGCUGCAGUUUAGGGAAGGCACUGAGCAAGAGAGGAGAAAAAAAAAGGCUUCAAUUUUUAAUUCUGGAAAAGAGAAAAAGGUAUUUAAAUAAGACCUGGAGGACUUCUUAUUUGCCAGAAGUGACAAGUUUAUAUCCUUCUGUAACUCAGCCUAAUUGAAAUGAUCUCUUUAUUCUAAAGUCAGCAGAAAAAUCUUGGCCUCUUAAUGAUGAAAGGCUUUUUUAAAAAACAUUCUUCUAAGCAUAAAUAGCUGAAGUUUCCACUUUAAACUUGUGUGGCUUAUUCAUAUUUCACUCAAUGGUAAUAUGGUAUCCUCUCUCUCUCUCUUCCCCUCCUUACCACCAAGACUGAAAAGAUGAUGGGGGUGGUGUAUAAAUGUUUCUGAAAAUUACAGGAAAUGUCUUUUCCUUAAACGGCUUUGCCAGGGAAUUUCCAAAUGUGUUUAAUGCUUAUGGCUGAAGUUGCAGCAGUUCAGUCUUCAAUCAUGAGUGGAUCCUGUUCUAAAAUGUGACACCUCCGUCCAGUAAACUACGUUGAAAUUAAGUAUAUGCUUUGUUUCUCAUCCGCUCUUCAGCAGAAUUAAUCAUUCCCUGUGGUGAAAUAAGGGCUCUUGGGGGCUGCUUUAAACACUAGAUUUACAUGUAUUUAUUAAAGUGGGGAAAACAGAAUAUCGUGUCCUGAGGUGAGACCUGGUUUAAGGAAGUCAUGAAGGAGUCAUGGCAUGGCAUGGAUGGCACAGAGAGGCAGGUACUGGUGAGUGUGAAGGCUACCUGACAGCUUUCAGGGAGACUUCAGGAGCUGCAUGUGAAGCACGAAGGAACAAAAGGGGAGAUGCUUUUUGUCUCAGGACUUUGUUUCCUUGGGCUGUCACAAGGUGGUCUCAGAUCAUAGGGCCCUGUCUCCAGGCAGAGCCUCAUCAGUGCUGAGCAUUAGUUUAGUGUUAAUUUCUGGGAUGAGAUCAGAAAAAGGGAUAGCAAUAAGUACGAUGAGUAGAAUGGGUUUUCUCUCUGUUCUGUGUUGCCUUCUGCCAGGCUUUUGCCACUGGAUUAUGGAAAGGAGCAAGGGAGGUCUGCAGAGCCUCUUCCUGAGGCUCAGAAAGGAAUGAGAAUCUAGAGCAGGCAGAGGGCAAAAAAGGACCUAGCCCAAUUUCAACAUAUCUUCUCAUCCAGCUCUCUUCCCUGCUGCUCUCACAUACAUAUGCCUACAUACUAAUGAUGGAAGAGAGAGGAUCUCCAACAUGGGUCCUUCCAGGGAAAAAUACAGGGUCCCAGUCAAGAGAUGAACAUAGUGAGCAAAGCCCGUUCUGGGCUCUAACCUCAGUAUUUUCUGAAGGCUUCUCACCCCAUGUUCUACAGCUGCCAUUUCCUAAAGACAGAGAGAUGAUUGAUCCAUGUAGUUCUUUUCCUUGUGGGAUGCUGUGGGUUUUCAGACUGUUCACCAUACAUGUCCAGCCCUUUCCUGGGGUGGCUCUUCUCAAUUGUCGUAUCCUUUACUCGGUGCUUCAAGAGCCACUCCUGGAUCUCACAACAAGGCACUUCUUGGCAAUAAUUUAUUGUCAUGGUUUAUGUCACAGUGAUUAAAGGAAGCUGUCAUCUCUUGGCAGCCAUGAUUUGAAUCUUGGGUUUAGCUGCCCAGGAAACAGUUUGGAACUGACGCUGAUAUGUUUAUCUUAGCUUCCUUGUGUAAAAGCUGUAAUUUAAUUUGCGCCUGAUGGAACAGCAGGUGCUUCGGGUAGAAGUUGUAUGGGUAUGACUGUGUGUAAUGAUUGGUGAUGCUAGUGUUACCAGUUUCCAGUGCUGACUUUUUUAGAGUGUGGGGAAGUGGGCUUAAUUACACAAAUGUCCUGUUUCAUUGGUCUCUGUCCAUGCAAAAUACAUAUGUAUUCACACUUCCUUGUGGCAAUCUUUCACAUUAAUAGGCACCGAUCAAGAGAUUGUGAAUUUGUUUAAUUCCAUGCAAAUGCCUCACCUUUAAUGCUGAGCUGUACAUUGGUUUUCUAGCAGUGAGAUGUGUCAGAGUUUGGAAGGCUAUCUGGUUGGUUUUUGUUUGUUGGGGUUUUAUAAGCAUCUCCAACUUUUUUUUUUUAAUUGCAAUUUAAAGAUAGUAGAGGGGUUUGCUGUGGUGGGGUUUUUUUUUCUCUUUUCUUUUAGAAAAUCAGUCUAGAGUAACUUUCUAUUUUGGACUCAUUCCAUAUAAAUGAAUGCCAGCAUUCAUAAAUAACUUCUCACCUAAGUUUUAAUGUGUUUGGGGGAGUUGUACAGCAAAUGACUGUACUGAAAGUGUAAAAUCCAUUUCCUGAUUUGGGUUGGGGGGUGUUUGUCUGGGGUUUUUUUGUGUUUUUUAAACUUGUUAUUAUUUUUCUGUAUUUAGGUAAUUCCUUCUGCUGGCCUUUGUAUGUGGACCACCUUCUGUCCCGUUCAGGCCACAUAAAUUGUGACUUAAAUGUAGGUGAGCAACAGCUUUUGACAUGAAACAAUAAUGAAUUAAUAAAAAAAAAAUCAUACUCCAAAAUUUUCCGUUGCUUUGACUUGGAGGUCAUAGAAGGAGAACCAUUUUUUUAAAAAUCCAUUGACAUUUUUCCUGGUUGUCUAGUGUCCUGGGCAAUAGGAACCUAAAAAUAUAAUGUAUUAUAGUAUAUGUUUGAAGUGGAUUAAAUAAUCUCUCAUUCUGGUUGUCACAGACCUAUAUGCUGUGAACCUGCAGUGAAAAAGUAUUUUGAAAUGGAAAGAGCUUCUCACUCGAUUGGGUGGAGAAGAGAGUCCCCAGAUUAGGUCUGAGUGUCUUUUGAAUAGAGUGAUGUAACAUAUCAACAGCAUGUUCUAAUGCUUCCCAGGAGGCCACGUUCUGCCAGUCAGGUUUCCCUGCACUCACACUUAAUAAAUGUUUAUUGUUUCACUGGGAAUGUCAAAGAGAUUGGGUCCUUUGUCAAAGCAAGUCAUGAUAACCUGGCUUAUUGUUUCAAGAUGAUGAUGGUGCAUGGAUGAUAUUUGCUAGUACAUUGCAGAUGUUUGUGAGCUAUGCUGAGUAGGUCACCAAACGCGGUGGUUUGGUGUGCUUUUUGGUUUUAUUUUGAAAUAAUACAGUAUAUUAUUUCAAAUAUGAUUAUUUGUGUGACAGAAAAUACGUGUUAUCUAAGUGGAAGGCCCAUUCCUCUUGCUUAGCCCAGCUGUCUCAGAGUGCCAGUGGUAAAAUAUUGCUGAGCAGUAGCACUCUAGAAAUAGAGUGAACUUAAAGAUCUUAAGUGGAUGUCUUUUAUGCAGUGUAUUCAUGGGAGGUUGAUAUCCUUUCUGACUCUCUCUGUGUCUGUUUUCACAUUGGUGAGCACAAAGAGGUGGGGAGAGGAGACUUUUCUUUAGAACUAGUAAUCAAAGUUGAAUGAUUAGUUUUCCAGGAUGAAGGACAAGCGUACUGAACAGAAAAUCCACCUUAAUCUAUGUUUUUUCCAAUGCAUUGCACUUGCCUUUCUCAUGGUUGUAGAGUGUGUAAUCUAAAAUGCAUGUGGCUGGUGUUUCUACAAAGAAAAGAAAAUUAACACUAUGCAUUUUGACUGCAUAUAUAGGAUAAAAGAACAGGUAUGUUAAAAGUAGAAGAGGGGAGCACCCAUAGAUAAGCAAGGGAAAACAGGAUGAAAUUUUUUAAACUGCUUAUUUUUUAUGAGCAUGGUACAUGAGUGACACUAAAAAAAAAAAAAAAAAAAAAAAAAAAAAAG